ACGAUUCAGAUUAACACAGGAUGGGUAUAAAUAUUUUGCAUCACACAGAACCCGAACCCUGGCUGCCAGCCCCCCUUGCCGAAGAAGAAGAACCAGACGCUGAAGAAGAAAACUGACCGUCGAUCGCCACCACACCGGAGCCACCUCCAACUGCAAAAAAAAGGUAAAAAUUCUCCUACCUGCUCGAAAUUCGAUUUCUGACCAUAUCAAAGCAAAACGAAUGGUGGAUGAGCCGAAAAUCACGGGCAAAGCCCAGGAGUGCCGCCGCGGCCCAAAACCUGCAAUCUCAUCCUAUCAGCCCUUUUUUGGUUCCCAUUUCAUGCAAAUUUUUCACCAUUGUAUUCAUCGUUCUGUUUUCUGUAGGUUGACCGAAGGAGGAAUCCCAGCCGCUAAGGAGAGCCGAUGGAGCCGCU
rnacentral:lncRNA from 1 species